rnacentral:rRNA from 1 species
UACGUAGGGUGCGAGCGUUAAUCGGAAUUACUGGGCGUAAAGCGUGCGCAGGCGGUGAUGUAAGACCGAUGUGAAAUCCCCGGGCUAACCUGGGAAUUGCAUCUGUGACUGCAUAGCUAGAGUACGGUAGAGGGGGAUGGAAUUCCGCGUGUAGCAGUGAAAUGCGUAGAUAUGCGGAGGAACACCGAUGGCGAAGGCAAUCCCCCUGGACCUGUACUGACGCUCAUGCACGAAAGCGUGGGGAGCAAACAGG